AGGUGCUUCACUAAUAGUUUAUUAAAAAUGACCCGUUGCAAGAAUUGUCUUAUCUAGUGCAGUUUUUUUUUAGAUGUUGUAUUAUAAAAACAAUUUUAUUUCAGUGUGUGAUGCCUUCAAAGUCACUGUAUCAUCUGGUAAGUUAAGAAUUGAUCUGCAUUUCUGCUGCAGAACUCAGAACUGAAUUUUAGUGGUCAUGUUCAUGCAUCUGCACAGUUGAAGAGUAAGAUAUAUGGAUCUGCUGCCUCUGACUUGAUUCUACAUAAAAUUCAAGUGGGAAGCAAAGAUGGCAGUAGCCACCGGUGUCACAGCAGAGUGACCCUUGCUAUAUAACAAGUUGUUAGCAACUGAAAUUACUUCCUGCACCUGAUGAAGGCACAAGAGGGUGAAGGCUGGGUUUUGCCCAUGUCUCAAGCGUUAUUAAGUGUGACCAUCUGAACUAAGGCCUAUAAGCUGAGGUAUUCAACCAUGUGAGGGCAGAAGAUGCAUUGCUCUUGAGCUUGGAUGAGGUGAUCCAUGAAUAUUAACUACCUGUCUUCUUCCAGCAAGGGGAAAUGCCAGCUGUUGAAGAACUGGAUUCUGGGGUGAAGUCAGAUUGUUGGUGUAAUACUGUCUGUAAUUUCUUGGCAGUGCUCUGUCUUUCACACACUGUGAUUCAAAGGGCAGCGAAGGAAAGAAGGCAGUGGAGGCUGGGUGAAUCGCUGGCAUGGAGUAGAGAAGCUUCAACCUCCAGCCUCCUGCAAAGAUGUCUGUGUCCAUUCCUAAGAGUACAGAUAAAUCCCUUAAAGAAAUCUCUAUACACACAAAAUAUCUCUUAA
rnacentral:lncRNA from 1 species